rfam:TPA: Bos taurus chromosome 11, whole genome shotgun sequence.
UCCCUGGUAGCUCAGAUGGUAAAGAAUCUGCCUGCAAUGCAGGAGACCUGGGUUUGAUGCCUGGUUUGGGAG